UUAAUGCAGCAGGUUAGGAGAAUUAAUGUAGCAGGUUAGGAGAAUUAACGUAGCAGGUGAGGAGAAUUAACGUAGCAGGUUAGGAGAAUUAACGUAGCAGGUUAGGAGAAUUAACGUAGCAGGUUAGGAGAAUUAAUGUAGCAGGUUAGGAGAAUUAAUGCAGCAGGUUAGGAGAAUUAAUGUAGCAGGUUAGGAGAAUUAACGUAGCAGGUUAGGAGAAUUAAUGUAGCAGGUUAGGAGAAUUAACGUAGCAGGUGAGGAGAAUUAACGUAGCAGGUUAGGAGAAUUAACGUAGCAGGUUAGGAGAAUUAACGUAGCAGGUUAGGAGAAUUAACGUAGCAGGUUAGGAGAAUUAACGUAGCAGGUUAGGAGAAUUAACGUAGCAGGUUAGGAGAAUUAAUGUAGCAGGUUAGGAGAAUUAACGUAGCAGGUUAGGAGAAUUAAUGUAGCAGGUUAGGAGAAUUAAUGUAGCAGGUUAGGAGAAUUAACGUAGCAGGUUAGGAGAAUUAACGUAGCAGGUUAGGAGAAUUAACGUAGCAGGUUAGGAGAAUUGAUGUAGCAGGUUAGGAGAAUUAACGUAGCAGGUUAGGAGAAUUAACGUAGCAGGUUAGGAGAAUUAACGUAGCAGGUUAGGAGAAUUGACGUAGCAGGUUAGGAGAAUUAACGUAGCAGGUUAGGAGAAUUAACGUAGCAGGUUAGGAGAAUUAACGUAGCAGGUUAGGAGAAUUAACGUAGCAGGUUAGGAGAAUUAACGUAACAGGUUAGGAGAAUUAACGUAGCAGGUUAGGAGAAUUAACGUAGCAGGUUAGGAGAAUUAAUGUAGCAGGUUAGGAGAAUUAACGUAGCAGGGGGUGUACACACACACACACACACCUACCAGGGGGUGUAUAUACACACACACCUAC